rnacentral:rRNA from 1 species
AUUGAACGCUGGCGGCAGGCUUAACACAUGCAAGUCGAGCGGAGUGAUGGUGCUUGCACUAUCACUUAGCGGCGGACGGGUGAGUAAUGCUUAGGAAUCUGCCAUUUAGUGGGGGACAACAUUCCGAAAGGAAUGCUAAUACCGCAUACGUCCUACGGGAGAAAGCAGGGGAUCUUCGGACCUUGCGCUAAAUGAUGAGCCUAAGUCGGAUUAGCUAGUUGGUGGGGUAAAGGCCUACCAAGGCGACGAUCUGUAGCGGGUCUGAGAGGAUGAUCCGCCAUACUGGGACUGAGACACGGCCCAGACUCCUACGGGAGGCAGCAGUGGGGAAUAUUGGACAAUGGGCGGAAGCCUGAUCCAGCCAUGCCGCGUGUGUGAAGAAGGCCUUUUGGUUGUAAAGCACUUUAAGCGAGGAGGAGGCCCUCCUAGUUAAUACCUAGGAAGAGUGGACGUUACUCGCAGAUAAGCACCGGCUAACUCUGUGCCAGCCGCCGCCGUAAUAC